GAUGAACGCUGGCGGCGUGCCUAAUACAUGCAAGUCGAGCGAACAGAUGAGGAGCUUGCUCCUCUGACGUUAGCGGCGGACGGGUGAGUAACACGUGGAUAACCUACCUAUAAGACUGGGAUAACUUCGGGAAACCGGAGCUAAUACCGGAUAAUACAUUGAACCGCAUGGUUCAAUAGUGAAAGACGGUUUUGCUGUCACUUAUAGAUGGAUCCGCGCCGGAUUAGCUAGUUGGUAAGGUAACGGCUUACCAAGGCGAAGAUGCGUAGCCGACCUGAGAGGGGGAUACGGCCCACCGGAAACUGAGCAACGUUCCAGACUCCAAGGGAGGGCACAGGUGGGAAUCUUCCGCAAUGGGCGAAAGCUUGACGGAGCAACGCCGCGUGAGUGAUGAAGGUCUUCGGAUCGUAAAACUCUGUUAUUAGGGAAGAACAAAUGUGUAAGUAACUAUGCACGUCUUGACGGUACCUAAUCAGAAAGCCACGGCUAACUACGUG
rnacentral:rRNA from 1 species